rnacentral:rRNA from 1 species
GUCCACAGCCAAACCACCCUGAACACACAUGCCCAAUCUCAUCUGAUUUUGAAAGCUGAGCAGGGAUGGGCCUGCUUAGUACUUGGAUGGGAGACAAGACAAAAUAGCUUAUAAUGAUAAUU